rnacentral:misc_RNA from 1 species
AAGUCGUAACAAGGUAGCCGUAGGGGAACCUGCGGCUGGAUUACCUCCUUUCUAAGGAUGACCAAUUUUUAAUAAAAAUUUGUUCUAAAUACUAAACAGGUUAAUGUUGACCGUCCGCACAUCUUCUUUUAAAUUUUUUGUGUUUCUCUUCAAAACAAUGAGGGCCGGUAGCUCAGUUGGUUAGAGCACACCCUUGAUAAGGGUGGGGUCGAUAGUUCGAGUCUAUCUCGGCCCACCAAAUUUAUCUGGGGGAUUAGCUCAGCUGGGAGAGCGCCUGAUUUGCAUUCAGGAGGUCAGCGGUUCGAUCCCGCUAUCCUCCACCAUGAGAAACUUAGUUAUUUUUUUUGUAAAUAUUUUAAUAUUAUCAAUAUCUAUAUCCGAUUGUUCGAAAAGAUGAACAAUCAAGAAUGUUCGAAUAGAUGAACAUUUCAAAAAAUUUGAUUCAACACAGAAUUUUUUUCUGUGCAUAAAUCAAGCGUUUAAGGGCGUGUGGCGGAUGCCUUGGCACUAAAAGACGAUGAAGGACGUGGUAUACUGCGAUAAGUUUCGGGGAGCUGUAUGCAAGUUUUGAUCCGAAAAUAU